GACGAACGCUGGCGGCGUACUUAACACAUGCAAGUCGAACGGAAAGGCCCUGCUUUUGUGGGGUGCUCGAGUGGCGAACGGGUGAGUAACACGUGAGUAACCUGCCCUUGACUUUGGGAUAACUUCAGGAAACUGGGGCUAAUACCGGAUAGGAGCUCCUGCUGCAUGGUGGGGGUUGGAAAGUUUCGGCGGUUGGGGAUGGACUCCCGGCUUAUCAGCUUGUUGGUGGGGUAGUGGCUUACCAAGGCUUUGACGGGUAGCCGGCCUGAGAGGGUGACCGGCCACAUUGGGACUGAGAGACGGCCCAGACUGCUACGGGAGGCAGCAGUGGGGAAUAUUGCACAAUGGGCGGAAGCCUGAUGCAGCAACGCCGCGUGCGGGAUGACGGCCUUCGGGUUGUAAACCGCUUUCGCCUGUGACGAAGCGUGAGUGACGGUAAUGGGUAAAGAAGCACCGGCUAACUACGUG
rnacentral:rRNA from 1 species